AGAGUUUGAUCCUGGCUCAGGAUGAACGCUGGCGGCGUGCUUAACACAUGCAAGUCGAACGAGUUAUCAUUUUUGAAGCGAUUAGCUUGCUAAGAGUGGAAAAGUUGAUAACUUAGUGGCGGACGGGUGAGUAACGCGUGGGUAACCUGCCUUACACAGGGGGAUAACACUUAGAAAUAGGUGCUAAUACCGCAUAAGCGCACAGUCCCGCAUGGGACAGAGUGAAAAACAUUAGUGGUGUAAGAUGGACCCGCGUCUGAUUAGCUGGUUGCGGGGUAACGGCCCACCAAGGCGACGAUCAGUAGCCGGCCUGAGAGGGUGGACGGCCACAUUGGGACUGAGACACGGCCCAAACUCCUACGGGAGGCAGCAGUGGGGGAUAUUGGACAAUGGGGGAAACCCUGAUCCAGCGACGCCGCGUGAGUGAAGAAGUAUUUCGGUACGUAAAGCUCUAUCAGCAGGGAAGAAAGAAAUGACGGUACCUGAGUAAGAAGCCCCGGCUAACUACGUG
rnacentral:rRNA from 1 species